CCUACGGGAGGCAGCAGUGGGGAAUAUUGGGCAAUGGAGGAAACUCUGACCCAGCGACGCCGCGUGCGGGAUGAAGGCCUUCGGGUUGUAAACCGCUUUCAGCAGGGAAGAAGCGAAAGUGACGGUACCUGCAGAAGAAGCACCGGCUAACUAUGUGCCAGCAGCCGCGGUAAUACAUAGGGUGCAAGCGUUGUCCGGAAUUAUUGGGCGUAAAGAGCUCGUAGGUGGUUCGUCACGUCGGAUGUGAAAAUCUGGGGCUUAACCCCAGACCUGCAUUCGAUACGGGCGAGCUUGAGUAUGGUAGGGGAGUCUGGAAUUCCUGGUGUAGCGGUGGAAUGCGCAGAUAUCAGGAGGAACACCAAUGGCGAAGGCAGGACUCUGGGCCAUUACUGACACUGAGGAGCGAAAGCGUGGGGAGCGAACAGGAUUAGAUACCCUGGUAGUCCACGCCGUAAACGGUGGGCACUAGUUGUGGGGACCUUCCACGGUCUCUGCGACGCAGCUAACGCAUUAAGUGCCCCGCCUGGGGAGUACGAUCGCAAGAUUAAAACNCAAAGAGUAGUAGGACGUGNGAGACGCGACGACGACGACGACGGAGGAGGAGG
rnacentral:rRNA from 1 species